rnacentral:tRNA from 1 species
AAUGCCUCGACCGACCGGCGUCGAGUUCUCACCGUUGACAAUGGUGACCUGCGGUUUUAGGUCCCGCUUCAGUUGCGGGAGGUACUC